GACGAACGCUGGCGGCGUGCCUAACACAUGCAAGUCGAGGGGUGAUUUCGGUCAUCACUGGCGCACGGGUGAGUAGCGCGUAGAUCAUCUGCCCCUAUCACUGACAUAACAGUUCUAACGGACUGCUAAUAUCAGAUGAGGUGAGCAAUCAUCAAAGUUUCGACGGAUAGGGAUGAGUCUGCGUCUGAUUAGGUAGUUGGUGAGGUAACGGCUCACCAAGCCGACGAUCAGUAACUGGUCUGAGAGGACGAACAGUCACACUGGAACUGAGACACGGUCCAGACUCCUACGGGAGGCAGCAGUGAGGAAUAUUGCACAAUGGGAGGAAUCCUGAUGCAGCGACGCCGCGUGCGGGAUGAAGGGGCUUAGCCUCGUAAACCGCUGUCGGAGGGGACGAAUGGUACAUUUGAUGUACUGAGACGGUACCCUCAAAGGAAGGAUCGGCUAACUACGUGCCAGCAGCCGCGGUAAU
rnacentral:rRNA from 1 species